rnacentral:rRNA from 1 species
UUGAACGCUGGCGGCAGGCCUAACACAUGCAAGUCGAGCGGAUGAAGGGAGCUUGCUCCUGGAUUCAGCGGCGGACGGGUGAGUAAUGCCUAGGAAUCUGCCUGGUAGUGGGGGAUAACGUCCGGAAACGGGCGCUAAUACCGCAUACGUCCUGAGGGAGAAAGUGGGGGAUCUUCGGACCUCACGCUAUCAGAUGAGCCUAGGUCGGAUUAGCUAGUUGGUGGGGUAAAGGCCUACCAAGGCGACAAUCCGUAACUGGUCUGAGAGGAUGAUCAGUCACACUGGAACUGAGACACGGUCCAGACUCCUACGGGAGGCAGCAGUGGGGAAUAUUGGACAAUGGGCGAAAGCCUGAUCCAGCCAUGCCGCGUGUGUGAAGAAGGUCUUCGGAUUGUAAAGCACUUUAAGUUGGGAGGAAGGGCAGUAAGUUAAUACCUUGCUGUUUUGACGUUACCAACAGAAUAAGCACCGGCUAACUUCGUG